AUUGAACGCUGGCGGCAGGCCUAACACAUGCAAGUCGAGCGAGCGGCGGACUGGUGAGCAAUGUAUUGGCACUGCCCGAUAGACGGGGAUAACUACUGUAAACGGUGGCUACUACCGCUUACUAUCGGAUAACCCAUAUGGAAUUAGCGAGUGGGGGGGGUAAAGGCUCACCUAGGCGACGAUCUCUAGCUGGUCUGAGAGGAUGAUCGGCCAAACUGGGACUGAGAAACGGCCCAGACUCCUACGGAGGCAGCAGUGGGGAAUAUUGCGCAAUGGACGCAAGCCUGAUGCAGCAAUGCCGCGUGUAUGAAGAAGGCCUUAGGGUUGUAAAGUACUGUCAGCGGGGAGGCGUUACCCGAAGAAGAAGCAACGGCUAACUCCGUGCCAGCAGCCGCGGUAAUAC
rnacentral:rRNA from 1 species